GCAAAUUAAAAAUCACAUACUAACUGAUAGUAUUGAUGUUUUUUUUUUUUAAAUGACCCAAAAUAUUCACUUGCCCUAUGAAAGGCUAACUUUGUACAAGUAAAAAAUUAUACACAAACGAAACACGACCAUGAAAUACCUAUGGACACACAUUCCAGUAGAAGAUAGCUAUCUUUGGUAAUGCGUGAAAUUGAUAAUACGUGUAAACUCAACUGCACACAAGUCUUGGCAAAAAGUGUAUUUAAAAAAAAACUCGUAAAUCGAGGCAAUGCUGUACUUAACAACUUGUUGAAAUCAUACUUUAAUUGUGCACUGUAUUGUCUCUUGAGAGUGAAGAUUUUCACAUUUCGCGGAUAGGUCUCCCCGUGAUAAACGGGGGUUCACCGGAACUCAGUCCCCUCAGGCCGGCGGUGCGCCCCCUUCUCCUCCACGCUAUAAACUUGCCUGCCGCCUGGCUCGUCCGGUCGAGAAGGAGCGCCUACCUGGACGUAGUUGGUCUCGCAGUACUCCGCGACCCUCACCAGGUUGGGGUAACUGUCAAGGAGAGCCCUUCUCCCCGCGGGAAUCUCCUCCUCCAGAAGCAUUUGCAGCUCCGCCAUCUUUACAUGUUUGACUGCCGCCCGCCACAGGCUUUCGCGAGCCGGCGUGCUGAUGCCUUCAUGUGCCCUCGGAUACAGCAGUUACUUUGUCAAGAUUUGGCCGUGUGGAGAUGACGGCCCAGGCCAGGCCCACGAGCAGGGACACCACCAGGUUGACCACAAUCCAUGGCCGCAAGAUCUGCUCCUCAGAACCAGGAGGCCUAAAGUCUCGUUGGCGGUGGGAUACAGGUGGAUGCGAUCGCUAGUCAUCUGCUGACUGAGGGACAGGAUCAACGCUAUGAAGUACACUGUCAAGACAAAAAAAAAAAAAAAAGAUACAACUGUAUUUCUUUACCAAUUUACAAUUGGUCACAAAACGGCAACGUGCGCCUAGAAAUUAGGGGUGCACGAUAUUCAUUUUUUGAAACCGAUAUCGAUAAUGUCCUGCUCCGCAAGGCUGAUACCGAUACAAUAACCGAUAAUAUUUAUAUUUUUAAAUGUAUAUUCACCUGAGUUUUUGAACACCUAUAAGUAAAAAAUAAUAGUGGUGGAUUCAGCAUAGAUUUGCCUUUGACCUAACCAGAAUUUUCAUGAUGACAUGAACAUUAUUAUGAUGAACUAAAACAAAGACAAGAAGUAUUUACCUAAAAUAAAGGGCCCAUAUUCAUUUUUUCGAAUAAACAUAAUUUGAGUCAAUCACAAUCAAUUAGUCAAUGUCAUUGAAGAUGUGUUCCCUGAACAAUGAGCACUGAACUAAAACAUAAACCCAACAGGUAUUGUGCUUUGUCAUCAGAUAAAAACAUUUGAGGCAACAGGAGAGGAGACUUUUUGUGGUCUUGGCCCAUAAAACAACUUUCUUAACCUGGCAAUUAUAGGACAGCAAGCUUAUCAAUAACCAAAAGGCCUAUCAAUAACUUACUAACUUAUAACUAACACCUUAAAAUGUAACAAAUUGCUAAUUGCCAUAGUAAGGUUUAUAACUCAGUGAUGGAAAAAUACGGCCUCUAGAACAGUAACAAAACUUUGCAUACUGGCAAAACAGGAGUGGAAAAAAACGCACACAUCCCAUCCACCGACACAGUGGCAAAAACAUUAUACAGUAUAUUAUUGGGUCGAUAAAUAAUGUUAUUGGAUUUAUUGGGAUGACGUCAUAAUUCCUAUUAUUGGACUGAUAAUUAUCAAACCGAUAAUUAUUGUGCACCUCUACUAGAAAUCCACGUUUCCCUCCAUUUGCUAUUUAAAUAGUUUUGUUAUUAGAAAUGAAUACAUAAGUUAAAUGCAUCUACUACUACCACUACUACUGGUUAUCCAAAAAUCACUGCCAAUCCACCCCUUACCAAUCUUAAAACAAAAAUGCCCUAAACUCCUCAACCUGAAGAAAAAAAGUAGAUAAACCAUUGUAAACAUAAAAAAGAUGUCUAUCAAUGUCAGUGGCAUUAAAUGAGUUAAUAGCAAGUAUGAUGCUUUAUGAAUGAAAAACACAAAUUUUCUCAUCUUUUGCGUCUGAACUCAUGUGUCACUUACAGAACGAGGCAAGCGCAGCGGGAUCCAACGUGAUGAAGCCUCUCAACGCCAUGGAGGCCUUGGCCAAGUUGACUCUGUGCUCGAAGGAACACCAAAAUUUAAAAUAAAGCCAAACUAGGAAAGGCCAAGUGUGGAACAAACCGGUCGAAGGCGGACACGGUGCUGAUAGCUAGCAGCAAGUAGAGCAGCGACUGUGCGCUGUAGGCCAGCGAGUGGUACUGCUGCAGGAGGUUAGCCAGUGUGGACAUGUGCUCACCAGCUAGCACAUACACCACACUCACGUUCCACACGGCGUAGCCCGACAGGAAGCCAUGGCAGAAUAGGCCCAGAACCCUGCAAAGGUGAAACCAGACAUACUAAAACAUUCGUGCGUAACAGAGAAAAUGGUGGUUGGCUACUCGAGACAGGCUGGAAGUUGUAGUAUUGUCAGAGUAUGUGUGGUGCAUAGACUUCAUAAUGUAUUGAUGGGACACGGGGCCCGUGGCUGAUUCAUAUGGGGCCUAUCGCCGUCAAAGCUGGAAACACAGACAAAGGGCUUUUUCCGUUAGAUUUUUGUGAAUAAAUGCUUAAAUCCCUGUAUUCUUUAUAGAUAUGGACGUAAAACAGUCUCGAUUCUUGGUUAAUAGCAAAAACACAGUGCAGUUAGCAUUUAUUUUACAUGAAUAUUGCGAACUAUGAUGCUAGUCAGUAAGCAAAUUAG